rnacentral:rRNA from 1 species
GAUGAACGCUGGCGGCGUGCUUAACACAUGCAAGUCGAACGGAGUGCCUUUGAAAGAGGAUUCGUCCAAUUGAUAAGGUUACUUAGUGGCGGACGGGUGAGUAACGCGUGAGGAACCUGCCUUGGAGUGGGGAAUAACACAGUGAAAAUUGUGCUAAUACCGCAUAAUGCAGUUGGGUCGCAUGACUCUGACUGCCAAAGAUUUAUCGCUCUGAGAUGGCCUCGCGUCUGAUUAGCUAGUUGGUGGGGUAACGGCCCACCAAACCGACGAUGGAUAGGGGUUCUGAGAGGAAGGUCCCCCACAUUGGUACUGAGACACGGACCAAACUCCUGCGGGAGGCAGCAGUGAGGAAUAUUGGUCAAUGGGGCGUAAGCCUGAACCAGCCAAGUCGCGUGAGGGAUGG